AGAGUUUGAUCCUGGCUCAGGACGAACGCUGGCGGCGCGCCUAACACAUGCAAGUCGAACGAGCGAGAGAGAGCUUGCUUUCUCGAGCGAGUGGCGAACGGGUGAGUAACGCGUGAGGAACCUGCCUCAAAGAGGGGGACAACAGUUGGAAACGACUGCUAAUACCGCAUAAGCCCACGGCUCGGCAUCGAGCAGAGGGAAAAGGAGCAAUCCGCUUUGAGAUGGCCUCGCGUCCGAUUAGCUAGUUGGUGAGGUAACGGCCCACCAAGGCGACGAUCGGUAGCCGGACUGAGAGGUUGAACGGCCACAUUGGGACUGAGACACGGCCCAGACUCCUACGGGAGGCAGCAGUGGGGAAUAUUGCACAAUGGGGGAAACCCUGAUGCAGCGACGCCGCGUGGAGGAAGAAGGUCUUCGGAUUGUAAACUCCUGUUGUUGAGGAAGAUAAUGACGGUACUCAACAAGGAAGUGACGGCUAACUACGUGCCAGCAGCCGCGGUAAAACGUAGGUCACAAGCGUUGUCCGGAAUUACUGGGUGUAAAGGGAGCGCAGGCGGGAAGACAAGUUGGAAGUGAAAUCCAUGGGCUCAACCCAUGAACUGCUUUCAAAACUGUUUUUCUUGAGUAGUGCAGAGGUAGGCGGAAUUCCCGGUGUAGCGGUGGAAUGCGUAGAUAUCGGGAGGAACACCAGUGGCGAAGGCGACCUACUGGGCACCAACUGACGCUGAGGCUCGAAAGCAUGGGUAGCAAACAGGAUUAGAUACCCUGGUAGUCCAUGCCGUAAACGAUGAUUACUAGGUGUUGGAGGAUUGACCCCUUCAGUGCCGCAGUUAACACAAUAAGUAAUCCACCUGGGGAGUACGACCGCAAGGUUGAAACUCAAAGGAAUUGACGGGGGCCCGCACAA
rnacentral:rRNA from 1 species